AACGCGAAGAACCUUACCUGGGCUAGAAAGUAUGCGGACCUGGUAGAAAUAUUGGGGUGCUCUUCGGAGAACGCAUGGUUAGGUGCUGCAUGGCUGUCGUCAGCUCGUGUCGUGAGAUGUUGGGUUAAGUCCCGCAACGAGCGCAACCCUUGUCCUGUGUUGGCAUGCCGCAAGGCGCAACUCUCAGGAGACCGCCAGCGAUAAGUUGGAGGAAGGUGGGGAUGACGUCAAGUCAUCAUGGCCUUUAUGUCCAGGGCCACACACGUGCUACAAUGGGCGGUACAAAGCGCUGCCAACCCGCGAGGGGGAGCUAAUCGCCAAAAACCGUCCUCAGUUCGGAUUGCAGGCUGCAACUCGCCUGCAUGAAGCUGGAAUCGCUAGUAAUGCUAUAUCAGAACGAUAGCGUGAAUACGUUCCCGGGCCUUGUACACACCGCUGUA
rnacentral:rRNA from 1 species